CAGCCAUCUAGACAAUGAGUACUAAGUGUCAAGUGAAAUCGAUCAUCAUCACACUUGAUGAACAUUUCCCAUGUUUCCACGAGGCCAAGUGCAUUGAAGUCUUAAGUGGUAACAAAACCCCAAUAGAAUGAACAGCAUAAGAGUGAUGUCAGUGUCUGAGCUGAAGCAACUGUAGACACACAUUCUAGUGAUAAAGAAAGGUGAUAUCCGUUAAAGAUCCAUUGAUGUUGAUGAAGUACUUUUGAUGGGUAUUGGUCUGUUGUUACAUUUGGAUAAGUGGACAGUAUGCCAUGAUGAGACAGUCAUCCACCUGCAGUCUGCCAUGAGAUGGUCGUCCACCUGCAGUCUGCCAUGAGAUGACCAUCCACCUGCAGUCUGCCACGAGAUGGUUGUUCACCUGCAGUAUGCCAUG